rnacentral:rRNA from 1 species
UGGGGAAUAUUGCACAAUGGGCGAAAGCCUGAUGCAGCCAUGCCGCGUGUGUGAAGAAGGCCUUAGGGUUGUAAAGCACUUUCAGCGAGGAGGAAAGGUUAGUCAUUAAUACUGGCUAGCUGUGACGUUACUCGCAGAAGAAGCACCGGCUAAUUUAGUGCCAGCAGCCGCGGUAAUACUAAAGGUGCAAGCGUUAAUCGGAAUUACUGGGCGUAAAGCGCGCGUAGGUGGUUUGUUAAGUUGGAUGUGAAAGCCCAGGGCUCAACCUUGGAACUGCAUUCAAAACUGACUCACUAGAGUACGAGAGAGGUUAGUGGAAUUUCCUGUGUAGCGGUGAAAUGCGUAGAGAUGGGAAGGAACACCAGUGGCGAAGGCGACUGACUGGCUCGAUACUGACACUGAGGUGCGAAAGCGUGGGGAGCAAACAGG